GGCCCGCGGGUGACCGCGGGCCCGCCGAUAUCAUGCGGGACUUUCGACAUCCCGCGACCCGGGUUCAAAUCCCGGCCGGGGCACCA
rnacentral:tRNA from 1 species